rnacentral:misc_RNA from 1 species
UCCCCGUUGCCGAGGCAGUCUUGUAAGACAAAAUAACUUACAACGAGGGUUGCGCUCGUUAAGGGACUUAACCCUACAUCUCACGACACGAGCUGACGACGGCCAUGCAUCACCUGUCUUCCUAUCUUCUUGCGAAGCACAUCCGCCUUUCGGCGGACUUAAGGAGAUGUCAAGCCCUGGUAAGGUUCUGCGCGUGCCAUCGAAUUAAACCGCACGCUCCACCGCUUGUGCGGGUCCCCGUCAAUUCCUUUGAGUUUUAAGCUUGCGCUCGUACUCCCCAGGCGGGAUGCUUAACGCGUUAGCUUCGCUACCGAAGGGGUCGAAUCCUCCAACAGCCAGCAUCCAUCGUUUACGGCGUGGACUAC